GCUAUGUACGAAGGGAGGUGGGUAACCUAACCCCGGGGUAGGGGUAACCCCUUACCAAGGGGUAACAAAGGGGUAGGGGUAACCCCUUACCAAGGGGUAACAAAGGGGUAGGGGUAACCCCUUACCAAGGGGUAACAAAGGGGUAGAGGUAAUAUUGUACUGAGGGUUAACAGACAGGGUAACCCGUGUUUACAUGUGUUCCUUGUCCGUAUGCCG
rnacentral:lncRNA from 1 species